CAGCCGCCACGGUAAUACGAAGGGGGCUAGCGUUGUUCGGAUUUACUGGGCGUAAAGCGCACGUAGGCGGAUGAUUAAGUCAGGGGUGAAAUCCCGAGGCUCAACCUCGGAACUGCCUUUGAUACUGGUCAUCUUGAGUCCGGGAGAGGUGAGUGGAACUGCGAGUGUAGAGGUGAAAUUCGUAGAUAUUCGCAAGAACACCAGUGGCGAAGGCGGCUCACUGGCCCGGUACUGACGCUGAGGUGCGAAAGCGUGGGGAGCAAACAGGAUUAGAUACCCGCGUAGUCCCUGUCUCUUAUAC
rnacentral:rRNA from 1 species